rnacentral:rRNA from 1 species
AAACCAACAGGGAUUGCCUUAGUAACGGCGAGUGAAGCGGCAAAAGCUCAAAUUUGAAAUCUGGCACCUUCGGUGUCCGAGUUGUAAUUUGAAGAAGGUAACUUUGGAGUUGGCUCUUGUCUAUGUUCCUUGGAACAGGACGUCACAGAGGGUGAGAAUCCCGUGCGAUGAGAUGCCCAAUUCUAUGUAAAGUGCUUUCGAAGAGUCGAGUUGUUUGGGAAUGCAGCUCUAAGUGGGUGGUAAAUUCCAUCUAAAGCUAAAUAUUGGCGAGAGACCGAUAGCGAACAAGUACAGUGAUGGAAAGAUGAAAAGAACUUUGAAAAGAGAGUGAAAAAGUACGUGAAAUUGUUGAAAGGGAAGGGCUUGAGAUCAGACUUGGUAUUUUGCGAUCCUUUCCUUCUUGGUUGGGUUCUCCGCAGCUUACUGGGCCAGCAUCGGUUUGGAUGGUAGGAUAAUGAUUAAGGAAUGUGGCUCUACUUCGGUGGAGUGUUAUAGCCUUGGUUGAUACUGCCUGUCUAGACCGAGGACUGCGUCUUUGACUAGGAUGCUGGCAUAAUGAUCUUAACCCAC